AGUGAACGCUGGCGGCAGGCCUAAUACAUGCAAGUCGAACGGCAGCACAGCAGAGCUUGCUCUGUGGGUGGCGAGUGGCGGACGGGUGAGGAAUACAUGGGAAUCUGCCCAGUCGUGGGGGAUAACGUAGGGAACUUACGCUAAUACCGCAUGCGCCCUUCGGGGGAAAGCCGGGGACCUUCGGGCCUGGCGCGAUUGGAUGAGCCCAUGUCGGAUUAGCUAGUUGGCGGGGUAAAGGCCCACCAAGGCGACGAUCCGUAGCUGGUCUGAGAGGAUGAUCAGCCACACUGGAACUGAGACACGGUCCAGACUCCUACGGGAGGCAGCAGUAGGGAAUAUUGGACAAUGGGCGCAAGCCUGAUCCAGCCAUGCCGCGUGAGUGAAGAAGGCCCUCGGGUUGUAAAGCUCUUUUGUCCGGAAAGAAAAGUCUUUGGGUUAAUACCCCGAAGUCCUGACGGUACCGAAGAACUAAGCCACGGCUAACUUCGUGCCAGC
rnacentral:rRNA from 1 species